GCCGAUAUGGACGCGGAUGCGGUUUGGAUGUCAGCCCAGAGUCUCAAAGCCCACAAGAGGGAAGGCACUGCAGCUUUCGAGUUGGCGAAGAAGGCGAGGGUAGAAGAGAUAGAUCCGGCUGCGUUUCACCUUGAUCGCCUAGAGCCCGCGUUUGCGACACAUCCUUGAGCAUGAGUACUUCUCGAUCCUGCGGAGGGGG
rnacentral:lncRNA from 1 species